rnacentral:rRNA from 1 species
AGUGAACGCUGGCGGUAGGCCUAACACAUGCAAGUCGAACGGCAGCACAGUAAGAGCUUGCUCUUACGGGUGGCGAGUGGCGGACGGGUGAGGAAUACAUCGGAAUCUACUUUUUCGUGGGGGAUAACGUAGGGAAACUUACGCUAAUACCGCAUACGACCUACGGGUGAAAGCAGGGGAUCUUCGGACCUUGCGCGAUUGAAUGAGUCGAUGUCGGAUUAGCUAGUUGGCGGGGUAAAGGCCCACCAAGGCGACGAUCCGUAGCUGGUCUGAGAGGAUGAUCAGCCACACUGGAACUGAGACACGGUCCAGACUCCUACGGGAGGCAGCAGUGGGGAAUAUUGGACAAUGGGCGCAAGCCUGAUCCAGCCAUACCGCGUGGGUGAAGAAGGCCUUCGGGUUGUAAAGCCCUUUUGUUGGGAAAGAAAAGCAGCAGGUUAAUACCCCGCUGUUCUGACGGUACCUAAAGAAUAAGCACCGGCUAACUUCGUG